rnacentral:piRNA from 1 species
UUCUAUUUGUUCCCGUAGGAUGUC